rnacentral:lncRNA from 1 species
GCCCAGGCAGGAGCCGGAGUCUGGGAACACUCAGGCCAGGUUGAAUCCUUCACUGCUUCCUUUUGACCUUCCAGAAGUUUUAGCUUUCAGGCUUGAGGAUAAAAGAAGUUCUAAAUGCAGCAUGUAAAGAGCACAAGACAACUGAUCAAAGUGUGUAACUGACAAAAGAAGGUGAAGAUGAGGAGAGCUUCAGGGCAAGAUUAAAAUGAAGUCCUGGGAUUCAUGGAAGCAGGCAAAAAAUAUAUACAAUUUGAUGAAGACUCUGAAAGUGGACGACACAGUAUGAAUAUACAUAAACCGUCAUGAAAGAAAAAGAAAGAAAAAGAGCCCAUGACAUUAGAAAGAAAAUGGGGAAUUCAGUCCAGCCACUGCAAGCAGCUGAGUUCUGCCUUAGCUACGUGAGCCUGGAAGAAGACCCAGGCUCCAGAAAGAAGCACAGCCUGGCUGACAUCUUGACUGCAGCCGUGUGAGAUCCUGACCUGCAGACCCACCUGAGCUGUGCUUGGACUCCUUACACGUGGAAACUGAGAGAGAAUAACACAUGCUGUUUUAAGCCAUUACAUUUGUGGUAAUUUGUUAUAAGACAAUAAAAAAAACUAAUAUAACAGAAGAGACAAUAAUGUCAGCUCUCAGGAUGUAAGAUUUUCCUGCUUUUAGGGCAACAUGAAACAAUACAUAAUUGUAGCUAAUUAAUUUUAACUACUACACGCAAGAUUCAAUGAUAAUACAAUAUAUAGAAAAUGUUAUCCCAUACCAAAAAAGGCCUAAAAUCUAGUACAAAAAAUGGAAAAAAAUACUUUACAUAGAGUAUUUCCAACUCUAUGUGAUGAUGUUGCAAAGAUUUUUGAUAGACUCUAAUUUAAAGAAAGAUUGACCAUGCUUUAGUUUGCACAGAGUCAAUAGCACCUUUUAAUAAAAAGGUAGAUCUGUGACUAUUUGCUCCAGACAUAAAGAAUUGUUUGUAACUUUUACACCUUUGUGAUGAAGGGAAAGUCAAGACUUUUAGUAACAGCUAAUAAAGAACAACUGGGGUUUCCAUCAGCAGGAAUGCAGAAAGAACAGGCUGGCUGAGCUUUCUGGAUAUGGACAAGAAGGCACAGAGCUCUCUGAAAUGGAAAGUCCUGCUUUGGAGAUAAUCAAGUGAAUAGUUCACUGGUCUGCCCUUUCUAGAUAGGGAAACUCCCUGCUGAGGGCUCAUGUCUCUUCCUCACCUGAGAGCCAGGUACAAACUAUCAAUUAGUCCUUUUGAAACACCAUGAGAUUCUUUUGAGACCAGUUAAAAUACUGAACACUUAGAAGCAUGUGAUUUGUUGCUGAAGAAUAAAUCCUUCACCCUUGCCUUCCUGGAUGGCCUGCAGUCUUCGUUGAUCAAUUCUUCACUCUUUCACAUUUUUAUUUAAAGCACCAUUCCUGCUACCAUAAUGAGUGUGGGUUUUGUGGUUGAACUUGACCUUGUAUGAAUGAAAAGAAAUGGUUUCUGGCCUUGGCCCAUUGUGGGGAAACAACAUAAAAGCACACCACACACAGGACAGGCUCAACGUAGCUCAAAUAAAUGCUCAUUACGUAUGUGACUUAUGAAUUGUAUGGAGCAAAGCCCAAACUCACUUGUCAUAUCUCAUAAAAGUGGAAUAUUGACUUGAAUCAAGGUAUCAUCAAGGUGGCAUGCUUAUUUUUCAUGAUAUUGGUGAGUUCUGCAUUUGUGAAAAAAAAGACUAAAAUAUUCCUGCACAUUUGCAAUGCUAAUUUUAGUGAGUAGGAUAAUGCUAAAAGUGUUCUUUUUUUUAUUAUUAUACUUUAAGUUCUAGGGUACAUGUGCACUACGUUCAGGUUUGUUACACAUGUAUACAUGCGCCAUGUUGGUGUGCUGCACCCAUUAACUCGUCAUUUACAAUAGGUAUAUCUCCUAAUGCUAUCCCUCCCCCCUCCCCCCACCUCAUGACAGGCCCCAGUGUGUGAUGUUCCCCUUCCUGUGUCCAUGUGUUCUCAUUGAUCAAUUCCCACCCAUGAGUGAGAACAUCUGGCGUUUGGUUUUUUGUCCUUGCGAUAGUUUGCUCAGAAUGAUGGUUUCCAGCUUUAUCCAUGUCCCUACAAAGGACAUGAACUCAUCACUUUUUAUGGCUGCAUAGUAUUCCAUGGUGUAUAUGUGCCACAUUUUCUUAAUCCAGUCUAUCAUUGAGGGACAUUAGGGUUGGUUCCAAGUCUUUGCUAUUGUGAAUAGUGCUGCAAUAAACAUACGUGUGUGUGUGUCUCUAUAGCAGCAUGAUUUAUAAUCCUUUGGGUAUAUACCCAGUAAUGGGAUGGCUGGGUCAAAUGGUAUUUCUAGUUCUAGAUCCCUAAGGAAUUGACACACUGUCUUCCAAAAUGGUUGAAAAAUGUUCUUUUAAUAAAGGCAUUCUGAGAAGCCUAAAUAUUGUAGGACAAGGCAAGAGAAUUUCAACUGCUUCUGAAAAUGUUUAAUAGCUGUCUUAACUUCUAUACUGAAUAAUUACCAGAACAGAAAGGACCAAAAGCCUGGUAUACACCUGUAAUCCUGGCACUUUGGAAAGCUGAGG